GACGAACCGUCCUAACGUUGUUCGGAUUCACUGGGCUUAAAGGGCGCGUAGGCGGGCCAGAGGGUCCGGGGUGAAAUCUUUCGGCUUAACCGGAAAAGUGCCUCGGAAACCGCUGGCCUGGAGGGAGGUAGGGGCAUGUGGAACUUCUGGUGGAGCGGUGAAAUGCGUUGAUAUCAGGAGGAACACCGAUUGCGAAGGCAGCUCGCUGGGACGUUACUGACGCUGAGACGCGAAAGCGUGGGGAGCAAAACAGG
rnacentral:rRNA from 1 species